AGUAGUUAAAGAAUGAGUCUUUGUACUCAAAACAUGAACACAAUGAGUAGACUUCAAGUCUGUUCCAUUCCAAGGACUUGUUAGAGGCACACUUGAGAGGUCAAUAGUUACUAGUUGACAUAAUUGGUGAGACAACACUGACCAGGCUAUGAAGUUCAUAGCCUGGAAUUUAGCUAAAUUAAUAAGAUACCAGCAAGUCAGUGUCAGCAAUGAGGAAGUAGGAGAGGGAUAGCAAUGGACCAAGCAAAUGCCACUUCAGGAGACAGCUGGUGAGGCAUUCAGGCUUGGUUCUUAGUAUUUAUAGCUCAUUUCAAAAUGGGGAAAUAAUUUGUAAAUGGCUUGUAAAUAUUGACAAGAUACCACUGAUAGUUCAUACCAUAUAAUCUUUAGAUAAAAACAGAUCUUUCUUUCAGUAGUUUCAAAUGCAUAAAUUGAUGCAUUCAUUUGAAUUCAGUUUGACAUUAUCUUAAGGAUUUUAAAGAUAAGUUUUACAGGAAAGUAUAAAUCUAUUAAGGUUUUUCUUUCUUUGGUUUUGUUUUCGUUUUUAAUGUUUUCUGAGAUAGAGGUAUUUCCUUGGCACCUUGACGCUAGCUUGUAGAAAGGAGACUUUUGAAUGAUCACCAGAAGGAUGAGUUUUGAGUGGUGACAGUUUUUAUAAAAACUUUACACAGCUUAAUCUUUCAGAAAGUCAGAGUGUGUGGCUUAGAGGAACUGGAUGUUAGAUGAAGAAGCAUGAUUCAAUUAUGAUCUAAAACCUGAAGAUAUAUGGCCAACAAGUAGAUAUGGAGCAACUCAGAAGUGCAUUUUAAAAUCAUAAUAGAGUGCUCCUUUAUAAUCAUCAGAAGGGUAAAACUAUUGCAAUCUGGUAACCCCUUGUGUUGUAUUUGUGGAACUGUGGAUAUGCUUUGAAGGAUACAUGAUACCCAGAUACUGCAAUUUUAACUCAAAAGAGAAGGUUUAGUAGACUCUUAAACAAAGAACGCACACAAGAAUGUUAAUAGUGCUCAUGUUCAUGAGAGAACGGCAAAUUAAAUGCUUACCAAUGCAAAUUAUAUUGUUAUGAAAUGGAAUGUUGUGCAUGAGUAAAAAUGAAUGAUGUUAGAUUAUCAAUUUUGGACAGUCUUGCAACUGAAUAGAAAACAUGCAGUUUGCAGAAUUUCUAUGUAAAAGUUAAAAGCAUGUAAAUACUGCAGAUUAUUUAGAAGCAGGUGUCCAAGGUUUUUUGUUUUUUUGGUUUUU
rnacentral:lncRNA from 1 species